rnacentral:rRNA from 1 species
CGGGUGCGUAACGCGUAUGCAACCUACCCACAACUGGAGGAUAGCCCGGAGAAAUCCGGAUUAAUACUCCAUAAUGCAGGGGUACCACCUGGUACUAUUUGCUAAAGAUUUAUUGGUUGUGGAUGGGCAUGCGUCUGAUUAGUUAGUUGGUGAGGUAACGGCUCACCAAGACGACGAUCAGUAGGGGGUCUGAGAGGAUGAUCCCCCACACAGGCACUGAGAUACGGGCCAG